UUGGUGAGGUAACGGCUCACCAAGGCUACGAUCUAUAGCUGGUCUGAGAGGAUGAUCAGCCACACUGGAACUGAGACACGGUCCAGACUCCUACGGGAGGCAGCAGUGGGGAAUAUUGCACAAUGGGCGCAAGCCUGAUGCAGCCAUGCCGCGUGAAUGAUGAAGGCCUUAGGGUUGUAAAAUUCUUUCGCCAGGGAUGAUAAUGUCA
rnacentral:rRNA from 1 species